rnacentral:lncRNA from 1 species
AUUGGUUCACUUGUCAAGAGUUAAUACCUCUCGGCAUAUACACUUGCGCUCCAACUGAGGAUCUGAUGGAUACCCCAGAUGCUCCAGAAUCUGACACAGCAGCCGUGGAAAAAGAAGUGGAAUGGCAUCAGCUCUCUACAGCUUCUUCUUAUGCACCUUCUCUUCAAAAUAGAGAAGGGUAGCCAUAAUUAGGUGGUGAGGGCCAAAGAAGUAUCCCUCUGAAAUCCUAAACAGGGCCUCUAAAAGAACUCCUCUCCUCUGAGUCUAGUGCUGUAGUGGAUAAAUGUUGUGACGCAAAAGUGCAUCAAUGAGAAACAUGCUCGGAG